rnacentral:rRNA from 1 species
GAUGAACGCUGGUGGCGUGCUUAACACAUGCAAGUCGAACGAUGAACCCGGAGCUUGCUCCGGUGGAUUAGUGGCGAACGGGUGAGUAACACGUGAGUAACCUGCCCUUGACUCUGGGAUAACUGCGGGAAACUGUAGCUAAUACCGGAUACGACCCUCGGCGGCAUCCUUGGAGGUGGAAAGUUUUUCGGUGAGGGAUGGGCCCGCGGCCUAUCAGCUUGUUGGUGAGGUAGUGGCUCACCAAGGCGACGACGGGUAGCCGGCCUGAGAGGGCGACCGGCCACACUGGGACUGAGACACGGCCCAGACUCCUACGGGAGGCAGCAGUGGGGAAUAUUGCGCAAUGGGCGAAAGCCUGACGCAGCAACGCCGCGUGCGGGAUGACGGCCUUCGGGUUGUAAACCGCUUUCAGCAGGGAAGAAGCCGCAAGGUGACGGUACCUGCAGAAGAAGCACCGGCUAACUACGUGCCAGCCGCCGCCGUAU